GUCCAGUGAUGAGCCUGCCAUGCUAAUACCGAUGCACCAGGCAGACAGUGUGUCUCUCUGGGUGUACAUGAGUGCAACUCGACUUCUCACACUGAGAGCUCUGAGGACA